rnacentral:rRNA from 1 species
GAUGAACGCUGGCGGCGUGCUUAACACAUGCAAGUCGAACGGAAAGGCCCAAGCUUGCUUGGGUACUCGAGUGGCGAACGGGUGAGUAACACGUGGGUGAUCUGCCCUGCACUUCGGGAUAAGCCUGGGAAACUGGGUCUAAUACCGGAUAGGACCACUUCUUGGAUGUUGUGGUGGAAAGUUUUUUCGGUGUGGGAUGAGCUCGCGGCCUAUCAGCUUGUUGGUGGGGUAAUGGCCUACCAAGGCGUCGACGGGUAGCCGGCCUGAGAGGGUGUACGGCCACAUUGGGACUGAGAUACGGCCCAGACGCCUACGGGAGGCAGCAGGGGGGAAUAUUGCACAAGGGGCGCAAGCCUGAUGCAGCGACGCCGCGGGGGGGAUGACGGCCUUCGGGUUGUAAACUCCUUUCGCUAGGGACGAAGCGUUUUGUGACGGUACCUGGAGAAGAAGCACCGGCUAACUACGUG